CUCUCCCUCCAUUUUCAAAGUAUCUUUUUCUUUUGGUGUUCUGAGAUGAAAUGGAAUCUGAAAGAAGCAGGUUCAAUGACUUUUCUCUGUCAAUUUCUCUACCGAAAACAGCUCCCUUCCAUCCGUUUCCAUCUCUCUCCUUCAAUCAGGCAUCGGAGAAAUAUAGGUUUGAGUAGUCGCUUGAACACACAAGCCUAUUUAUUGAGAAGCUGGAGAAAGUGUUGGAAUACUACCAUAGGCACGCUGUUCUUCACAAAAAGGGGAUAGAAGUGCCAGUUCUUUCACCCUAUUGCCAUGUGUGGAUGGAGGGUAUGUGCCGAAUCUUAUGCCA